rnacentral:rRNA from 1 species
GACGAACGCUGGCGGCGUGCCUAAUACAUGCAAGUCGAGCGAUGAAGCUUGGUGCUUGCCCCAAUUUGAAGAGCAGCGCACGGGUGAGUAACGCGUGGGGCAUCUGCCUUUGAGCGGGGGACAACAUUUGGAAACGAAUGCUAAUACCGCAUAACAACCUUAAACAUAAGUUUUAAGUUUGAAAGAUGCAAUUGCAUCACUCAAAGAUGAUCCCGCGUUGUAUUAGCUAGUUGGUGAGGUAAAGGCUCACCAAGGCGAUGAUACAUAGCCGACCUGAGAGGGUGAGCGGCCAGAUUGAGACUGUGACACGGCCCAAACGCCUACGGGAGGCAGCAGGAGGGAAUCGGCGGCAAGGGACGGGAGUCUGAGCGAGCAACGCCGCGGGAGGGAAGAAGGAUGUCGGGUCGGAGAAGUCGGUUGGUAGGGAAGAACGUUGGUGAGAGUGGAAAGCUCAUCAAGUGACGGUAACUAGCCAGAAAGGGACGGCUAACUACGUG